rnacentral:lncRNA from 1 species
GUGCUCUGUGUUUCUCUAUCUGUUUGACACAAGAGAAACCGAGUUUUAUAGUGAUCAACGGUCUUCACGUACGUUUGCAACCGUACAUUUAAUAUAAUAACCGUUUGUACCAAAAGGUGCGAUGGUUGGUGAAUAACCGUCGAUGUAUGUACACUAACCGUCGAUGUACGUACAGUUAAAUAUCCAACAUUCGUGAAUAACCGACGAUGUACGUACACUUCAAUAUCACGUACACUUAAAUAUCCAACAUUCCUCCCCCAUUUAAGUGUAAUCUUUGAUUCACAAAAUUAACAACACGUAAACCAAACUCAUGCAUAAAUGUAAAUGUCGUGACGAUUGAAUUUACAUCUUAGUGAUAUUACACAUUCCAAAUGCCCGAGAAUCAGGAUGUCCUACGGAUUGAAUCCUUCAACUCAUUUUGAGCACAUGAAGAUAAUACACACACGAAUUCACUCACUACUCUAAGUGUUUAUCCUUGACACUAUUAUAAGCCAUGUGUCCUUAUCCAUUCAUGAGCGUAUACAAAGCCAAGUCCAAGCUUCUUGAAGCGGCUACACUUCACACCCAUAUAGGUAGAUCUUUUAAUCUUGCACCUGC